ensembl:lncRNA
CCUCUUCGCUGAAUACAGCUCACGGUAAGUACUGGUUCACACAGUUCGUUCUCUGGGUGCUCACUCUCUUUCUCUUUCUCCACAGGCAACGGCUGGGACACACAGGCACAGUUAGUUCAGCUUGGUUUUGCUCUCACCUCUUCGCUGAUUACAGCUCACAGUAAGUACUGGUUCACACAGUUCGUUCCUUGGGUGCUCACUCGCUUUCUCUUUCUCCACAGGCAGCGGCGUAAGUACAGGUUUCCUCGGUCUCUCCUCGUGUUACCCACUCUCUCUCCUUUUUCUCUCCACAGGCAUCAACUUGGGCACACUAGCACAGUUAGUUUGCUUUGAAUGGCUCUCACCUCUGGGCUGAACACAGCGUACUGUAAGUACAGGUUUCCUCUGUUUCUCCUUGUGUUACUCACUCUCUCUUUCCUUUUCUCUCCACAGGUAUCAACUUGGGCACAAUAGCACAGUUAGUUUGCUUUGAAUGGCUCUCACCUCUGGGCUGGACACAGCGUACUGUAAGUACAGGGUUCGCUCUAUUCCUCCUCGUGUUAUUCACUCUCUCUUUCCUUUCCUCUCCACAGGUAUCAACUUGGGCACAAUAGCACAGUUAGUUUGCUUUGAAUGGCUCUCACCUCUGGGCUGGACACAGCGUACUGUAAGUACAGGGUUCGCUCUGUUUCUCCUUGUGUUACUCACUCUCUCUUUCCUUUCCUCUCCACAGGUAUCAACUUGGACGCAAAGCACAGUUACUCUGCUUUGGAUGGCUUUCACCUCUGGGCUGGACACAGCGUACUGUGCUAUCUCCGGAGAUCUGAAGCACGCUCACAACAUAUACUAUACUGAACUAGGCUAGGACCAGCAGUCUCCUUGUCCUCCCGCGACGAAGUGCGUGAAGGCGGGGGUUUAUCUGACAGGACACACG